rnacentral:lncRNA from 1 species
UACUGCUAUUUAUUUCUUCUCCUAAAGUUCCUCCUCUUCAUUCUUAAUUUCUUACCUUUUCCCUUCUUCUUUCCUACUUUCUCCAUUGCAGAUGAAUUAUGAGUUGUUGUUAUUUUUUGUUGUUGUUGUAUCUUUUAAACCUUUUCGGUCGAAAAGGUUGAAAUUUGUAAUGUUAGUUGUUACUAUUCAUCUUUGCUCUUUUAUUUCUUCAACUUUUCUUAAUUCUUAGUUGGAAAUAAUUGUGAUUUUGAACUAUGCUUGAAGCCUUUACCUGCUUUAAUUAUAUAAAAUUGGAAUAUUAUUGUGCUUAAUGUAUUAUAAGAUUCUGAUGUUUUCUUUCUCCUUUUUUUAUUUCAUUGAUUUUGUUUUUUGCGUUUUUUGCAGGUUGAUUAAUAUUGUGUGUAGUUGCUGUAUUUGAAUUAUUUUGUUUCAAGGAUAUUGUUAAGUCGUUUUCUAAAUUGCAUUUUCUGGAGCAAUUGCACUUGCAAUUCAGGGGAUGUUUAAGUCUAUCAUGAGGAGUGGUAAUUGAUGCUUUAUUACCUUUUGCCUGUAAUGUUUUCUUUCUCCUUUUUAAUUCAUUGAUUUUAAUUUUGUAUUUUUUUGCAAGUUGAUUAAUAUUGUGUUUAGUUGAUACAUUUAGAUUAUUUUGUAAUUUCUAAGGAAAUUGUUAAAUCGUUGUCUAAUGUGCAUUUUCUGGAACAAUUACGAAUAGAGGACGUUUAAGUCUAUCAUGAGAAUGGUAAUUGAUGUAUCAUUAUCUUUUGCCUAAAGAUUUGGUUGAUCAAAAUAAAGUUUUCGCCUACAAAUUUAUUUUAUGUGGGAAAACAAAAUGAAGGUCAAUUAAUUUUAUGUUUUUAUGAUUUUAUUUUUAUGAAUUCUCUUAUUUACACCUAAACUAUAUAUAAGAAUUAUUUAAGUACAAAAAACUUUCUUCAACUAUCUCCUCCUUUUUUUCUCCUUUUUUCUUUUCUUUCGAAUAGUGGGUGAAAUAUCUCUCUCUAUAAAAUAAAUUUUUAAGCAACGCGUAGUUUAGGUAAUUUUUAUUUGAACAAUUUUAUUGCUAUGAAUUAUGGUCAAUUCGUUUAUGCCUUUGUGGGGAAACGUUUCUCUUUCUUUUUAGUACAUGGUGAAUCUGAAGUACAUUUUAUCAUGCAUAUUCUGACCUCUAAUACCUAUUCAUAGUCGUAAUCGACAGUUCAAUUUUUUAAAAAAUUACUAUUUGUAUAAUACUUAUCCAAUAAAAUUUUGUUUUGUUUGUAUUCAGAUAUAGUGCCGGAAUUUAUAACUUACGAAUUCUGAUUCACAAUAUUUUUUAUGUCAAGACCCAAAAUCUAUUAUAGGCCGUGAUGGCACCCAACAUCGCCGUCAGGCAAGCCAACGGUGUAUUAUCGACUUAGUUACUCAUUUCGUUAUUUGUAAAAUCGUAAAUCCCAUUAAAUAAAUA